GGUGAUAUUGUUAUUGGGAGGUGUGCAGAAUCUGGGGCUAAUCAUGGUGCAAAAUUGAAGCACACUGAAAGGGGCAUGGUCCAGAAAGUCACAUUAUCUUCUAAUGAUGAGGGAAAGAAUUUUGCUGUGGCGUCUCUGAGACAGGCAAAUUUGUGAACAUAUUACACUAAUGGUGCAUGUGAAAACACCACAGAUAUGCCUAUGUAUGUCCACAUGCACAUACACCAUGUAUUCAUGCAUGUUUUCAGACAUACACACACAUGCAUGCAUCCACAUGGUGUGAAUUAUAUUCUAAUGGCUUGGCCUUUUGCUUAAAUUAUUGCCUUUAAGAUAAAUGUCUCCUAGCUCAUUGCUGCAGGCUCGUUCUCCAUGUCUUGGAGACAA
rnacentral:misc_RNA from 1 species